UACGUAGGGUGCAAGCGUUAAUCGGAAUUACUGGGCGUAAAGCGUGCGUAGGCGGCUAUGCAAGACAGAUGUGAAAUCCCCGGGCUUAACCUGGGAACCGCGUUUGUGACUGCAUAGCUGGAGUACGGCAGAGGGGGAUGGAAUUCCGCGUGUAGCAGUGAAAUGCGUAGAUAUGCGGAGGAACACCGAUGGCGAAGGCAGUCCCCUGGGCCUGUACUGACGCUCAUGCACGAAAGCGUGGGGAGCAAACAGG
rnacentral:rRNA from 1 species